rnacentral:rRNA from 1 species
AACCAGACUCCUACGGGAGGCAGCAGUGGGGAAUAUUGGACAAUGGGGGGAACCCUGAUCCAGCGACGCCGCGUGAGUGAAGAAGUAUUUCGGUAUGUAAAGCUCUAUCAGCAGGGAAGAAAGGAAUGACGGUACCUGACUAAGAAGCCCCGGCUAACUACGUGCCAGCAGCCGCGGUAAUACGGAGGAUGCGAGCGUUAUCCGGAUUUAUUGGGUUUAAAGGGUGCGUAGGCGGACUGUUAAGUCAGCGGUAAAAGCCCGGGGCUCAACCCCGGCGAGCCGUUGAAACUGGCUGUCUUGAGAUGUCGAGAGGUAUGCGGAAUGCGCAGUGUAGCGGUGAAAUGCUUAGAUAUUGCGCAGAACUCCGAUUGCGAAGGCAGCAUACCGGUGCACAACUGACGCUCAGGCACGAAAGCGUGGGUAUCGAACAGGAUUAGAUACCCCAGUAAG